CUUGGCAUAAAGUGGAGAUGAUGUACAUGAAAUUAGACUAGAGCAGGCCCAAAAGGCACAGUUUUUGUCUGGUUCUCCUCCAUGGGAAGCACCAUACAUUUGGAAAAGGACUGGGCAGAGUUAGUCAAGCAAGAGACAAGUAUUACAGCAAGACUGAUCAAGGGGAAAUUCAAGAGAAAAGCUCUGUGGAAGAGUAACAAAGCAGAGAACGACAUCCAACUUCCCCUGCUCUCUCAAGAGAAUUCCACACUGGAAUCCACACAAUAUAUCUAAUUAAA